rnacentral:rRNA from 1 species
AACGAACGCUGGCGGCAUGCCUAACACAUGCAAGUCGAACGAGACCUUCGGGUCUAGUGGCGCACGGGUGCGUAACGCGUGGGAACCUGCCCUUAGGUUCGGAAUAACGCCCCGAAAGGGGUGCUAAUACCGGCUAAUGUCUUCGGACCAAAGAUUUAUCGCCUUUGGAUGGGCCCGCGUUGGAUUAGCUAGUUGGUAGGGUAAAAGCCUACCAAGGCGACGAUCCAUAGCUGGUUUGAGAGGAUGAUCAGCCACACUGGGACUGAGACACGGCCCAGACUCCUACGGGAGGCAGCAGUGGGGAAUAUUGGACAAUGGGCGAAAGCCUGAUCCAGCAAUGCCGCGUGAGUGAUGAAGGCCUUAGGGUUGUAAAGCUCUUUUACCCGGGAUGAUAAUGACAGUACCGGGAGAAUAAGCUCCGGCUAACUCCGUG